rnacentral:rRNA from 1 species
UACGGAGGGGACUAGCGUUGUUCGGAAUUACUGGGCGUAAAGCGCACGUAGGCGGAUUUGUAAGUCAGGGGUGAAAUCCCGGGGCUCAACCCCGGAACUGCCUUUGAUACUGCAAAUCUCGAGUCCGGAAGAGGUGAGUGGAAUUCCUAGUGUAGAGGUGAAAAUUCGUAGAUAUUAGGAAGAACACCAGUGGCGAAGGCGGCUCACUGGUCCGGUACUGACGCUGAGGUGCGAAAGCGUGGGGAGCAAACAGGAUUAGAU